GACGAACGCUGGCGGCGUGCCUAAUACAUGCAAGUAGGACGCAGUUGCGAACGGGUGAGUAACGCGUAGGUAACUACCUAUUAGAGGGGGAUAACUAUUGGAAACGAUAGCUAAUACCGCAUACUAGUAGAUGGACCUGCGUUGUAUUAGCUAGUAGGUAGGGUAAUGGCCUACCUAGGCAACGAUACAUAGCCGAGCUGAGAGGGUGAUCGGCGCCACAGGCACGGAGACACGGCCCAGACGCCUACGGGGGGGAGCAGUAGGGGAACUGCGGCGAUGGGGGGAACCCUGACCGAGCAUCGCCGCGGGAGUGAAGAAGGUUUUCGGAUCGUGAAGCUCUGUUGUUAAGGAAGCGGUACUUAACCAGAAAGGGACGGCUAACUACGUGCCAGCAGCCGCGGUAAUUC
rnacentral:rRNA from 1 species